rnacentral:tRNA from 1 species
GGGGCUGUAGCUCGGUUGGUGGAGUGUUUGCCUAACAGGCAGGAGGCCCUGGGUUCAUGCCCAGCACUUCCC